UACGUAGGGAGCAAGCGUUGUUCGGAUUUACUGGGCGUAAAGCGUGCGCAGGCGGUCUUGCAAGACAGGUGUGAAAUCCCCGGGCUUAACCUGGGAACUGCACUUGUGACUGCAAGGCUGGAGUACGGCAGAGGGGGAUGGAAUUCCGCGUGUAGCAGUGAAAUGCGUAGAUAUGCGGAGGAACACCGAUGGCGAAGGCAAUCCCCUGGGCCUGUACUGACGCUCAUGCACGAAAGCGUGGGGAGCAAACAGG
rnacentral:rRNA from 1 species